rnacentral:rRNA from 1 species
UACGUAGGGGGCUAGCGUUGUCCGGAAUCAUUGGGCGUAAAGCGCGCGUAGGCGGCCAGAUAAGUCCGGUGUGAAAGUCACAGGCUCAACCUGUGAAUGCCGCUGGAAACUGUCUGGCUAGAGUCCGGAAGGGGCGAGUGGAAUUCCUGGUGUAGCGGUGAAAUGCGCAGAUAUCAGGAAGAACACCGGUGGCGAAGGCGGCCACUGGCUCGAUACUGACGCUGAGGCGCGAAAGCUAGGGUAGCAACGGG